UACGUAGGGCGCAAGCGUUGUCCGGAAUUAUUGGGCGUAAAGAGCUCGUAGGCGGUUUGUCGCGUCUGCUGUGAAAGCCCGGGGCUCAACCCCGGGUCUGCAGUGGGUACGGGCAGACUAGAGUGCAGUAGGGGAGACUGGAAUUCCUGGUGUAGCGGUGAAAUGCGCAGAUAUCAGGAGGAACACCGGUGGCGAAGGCGGUGAUCUGGGCCGGCACUGACGCUGAGGAGCGAAAGCGUGGGUAGCAAACAGG
rnacentral:rRNA from 1 species